rnacentral:tRNA from 1 species
GGCGAUGUAUUUUAAUAAAAAUAUUAUCUUGCAAGGAUAAAGUUGCUUUUAGCUAUCGCUU